CUUGGAUCAUGGUUUCUUUUAUCUCCGGAAUCAUGGGGUGGAGGAAAAAUUGCCUUUGUUACACUAUCCAGGUGGAGAUUCCUCUCCUAAUGAAGAGACGUAGGGUGCUUCUGCUCAUCCAUUGCAAGUGAUAGGGUAUUAGAGACGCACGCAUUUGGACUCCCAAAAUUUAUUGAGCUUAGACGUCCACCCAUCCGUAGCUUGGACUACCUGGAAGAACGCUUUAGAGUUGACACCCAUGGCUGGCUUCCACUGAAAGUCAUGCAAUAUUUCCCCUGAUUCACUGCUGCACUUUAUUCCUUAUCAAAGCUUUCUGCUGCUAAAGAAAUUGCAAAUACUGCAAUAUUAUUACUUCACAGCUAGCUGCAGGCCUCAGUAAUGAUGAAGUAAUUGUCACACUCCAAAGAGAAGGGAUGAAAUUUCUCUUAAUUAUUAGUAUAUAUCGAUCAUUGCAAAUUUUAUGCAUUAAACCAAGUCCUUAUAUUUUGUUUGCAUUAAACAAUUUUUGGGUUGCAAAUUUUUCUGGAUUUGACCUGCAGAGACUGAAACCCGAGUUUGGUCAAAGUCGGUGCGCUUAGAUUUUUCCAUUGUUCUGGCCCAGGAGAAGGACUUGCCUGAAAACCCGGAAGCUACUUGGAACGAGUGAAGAUAGUUCCCAGUUUACUUGGAAGAAUGAUUCACAGUGACACGUGUCAGCUAAUAAAGUCUACAUAGUGCCUCCUUCCAAUCCUCUUGGUGGAGAAAAUAUGGGAUGUCACAGUUUCACGGUGAGAAGGUGAAGAAAGAAAAUGCCAAUCAAACUAUAGGAAAAUGAACAAAGAAAAAUCACUUUUGUGGUUGAAGUUGAAUCAUAGCCCUACCUCUGCUGUGGAUAAUCACGUGGACUGCAACCAUGGUGUCCUUAAAUUUUACGAGCCACACCUUAAACUCAUUGGAGACAGACAAUGAGACAAUGACAUUUGGACAACACGUUUUGUCUUUUCUUUUUUUUCUCCUGUUCUUUUUCUAGUUUUUAUUUUAUCAAAUUAAACAAGACAAUUUAAAUUAAAUUUAAAAGGGAUAUAUAAACAUUGGGUAAGGUUGGAAAUGAACCAAAGAGAAAAAAAGAA